AACGAACGCUGGCGGCAUGCCUAACACAUGCAAGUCGAACGAGACCUUCGGGUCUAGUGGCGCACGGGUGCGUAACGCGUGGGAAUCUGCCCUUGGGUUCGGUAUCACAGUUGGAAACGACUGCUCAUACCGGAUGAUGUCAUACGUCCAAAGAUUUAUCGCCCAAGGAUGAGCCCGCGUAGGAUUAGCUAGUUGGUGAGGUAAAGGCUCACCAAGGCGACGAUCCUUAGCUGGUCUGAGAGGAGGAUCAGCCACACUGGCACUGAGACACGGCCCAGAAUGGGACGGGAGGGAGCAGAGGGGAAUAUUGGAGGAUGGGGGAAAGUCUGAUACAGCAAUGCGGGGGAAGUGAUGAAGGGGGUAGGGUUGUAAAGCCCUUUUAGCCGAGAUGAUAAUGACAGUACCGGGAGAAGAAGCACCGGCUAACUACGUG
rnacentral:rRNA from 1 species